GGAAGGGGUGUAUUUAUUAGAUAAAAAACCAAUGCCUCCGGGCUCCUUGGUGAUUCAUGAUAACUUUACGAAUCGCAUGGCCUUGUGCCGGCGAUGGUUCAUUCAAAUUUCUGCCCUAUCAACUUUCGAUGGUAGGAUAGUGGCCUACCAUGGUUUCAACGGGUAACGGGGAAUUAGGGUUCUAUUCCGGAGAGGGAGCCUGAGAAACGGCUACCACAUCCAAGGAAGGCAGCAGGCGCGCAAAUUACCCAAUCCCGACACGGGGAGGUAGUGACAAUAAAUACUGAUACAGGGCCCUUAUGGGUCUUGUAAUUGGAAUGAGUACAAUUUAAAUCCCUUAACGAGGAACAAUUGGAGGGCAAGUCUGGUGCCAGCAGCCGCGGUAAUUCCAGCUCCAAUAGCGUAUAUUAAAGUUGUUGCAGUUAAAAAGCUCGUAGUUGAACCUUGGGUCUGGGUGACCGGUCUGCCUCACCGCAUGCACUGGGAACCCGGACCUUUCCUUCUGGCAAACCUCAUGCCCUUCACUGGGUGUGUUGGGGAACCAGGACUUUUAC
rnacentral:rRNA from 1 species